rnacentral:lncRNA from 1 species
AAACCCCAGUGGAGCCGUGUCUCUGGAUCACUGUGAUGGAUUAGGAAAUGGUUUCAUCGUCUUUGUCCUGAAAGCCACUGCCUGGAAGGGCUGUGCAGCGCUCAGAGUGGGAGAGGCAGACCUCUGAGACAAAUGACUUCAGCAUCACUACAGCUGUGGCUAGAAUGAGAACAGCCUCAAAUUUCACUAAUGAAGAGAUUUUCUGAGUUCCAUGUGAGCAACGCCGCUUCCUUCCCAUCCCCGAGUGAUUCCCCUUGUCA